UUAUGUUGUAAGCAAGGAAACUUACGCUGUAUAUCUGUGAUGUUACUGAAUGAAAGUUUAAACAUUAUUUAAGAACAUCAGCUACAAAGAGCCACCAUUUUUAGUGGUAUUUUUUGAA
ncrna:unclassified sequences DTF3800-I RNA